CCGACAGGCAGCGCGAGAGAAGCAGGAAGUGAGUGAGGAGAGAGCACGGAGCCAGCACUGCACGGCACGGUACACAGAGUGACGGCGGGAGCACGGGUUACCAGGGAUCAGUGUCAGAGAGAGGGGGUGCUCGGCCAUCACACCCAUUAUAUCCAUUAUACAGGCUGACGGCAGCACGUGAAGAGUGUGCAGAGUUCCUUUCCCACUGGAAGUAAAGUCUGUGAUGCCAUCAUGGAGGGUCCCACAGUGUAUGGAGCUUGCACACUGCCAUGGGGGAGCACUGCCAUGGGGGAAUUGGGGUCCCACAGUGCGUGGAGCCUGCACACUGCCAUGGGGAGCACUGCCAUGGGGGAGUUGGGGUCCCACAGUGUGUGGAGCCUGCACACUGCCAUGGGGGAGUUGGGGUCCCACAGUGCGUGGAGACUGCACACUGCCAUGGGGGAGUUGGGGUCCCACAGUGCGUGGAGACUGCACACUGCCAUGGGGGAGUUGAGGAUCCCACGGUGCGUGGAGCCUGCACACACUGCCAUGGGGGAGUUGGGGUCCCACGGUGCGUGGAGUGCACACUGCCAUGGAGUUGGGGUCCCACAGUGCGUGGAGCCUGCACACUGCCAUGGGGAGUUGGGGUCCCACAGUCGUGGAGCCUGCCUGCCAUGUGGGGAGUUGGGGUCCCCACGGUCGCGUGGGGCUUGCGCACACUGCCAUGGGGGGGUUGGGGUCCACAGUGUGUGGAGCCUGCACACUGCCAUGGGGAGUUGGGGUCCCACAGUCGCGUGGAGCCUGCACACUGCCAUGGGGGUUGGGGGUCCCACAGUGCGUGGAGACUGCACACUGCCAUGGGGGAUGAGGUCCCACAGUCGCGUGGAGCCUGCACACUGCUGCAUGGGGGAGUUGGGGGUCCCCACAGUCAUGAAAUAGACCUGCCUGCCAUGUGGGGGUGGGGUCCCACAGUCGUGCGUGGAGCCUGCACUGCCAUGGAGUUGGGGGUCCCACAGUGCGUGGAGCCUGCACACUGCCAUGAGGGAGUUGGGGUCCCACAGUGCGUGGAGCCUGCACACUGCCAUGGGGGAGUUGGGGUCCCACAGUGCGUGGAGACUGCACACUGCCAUGGGGGAGUUGGGGUCCCACAGUGUUUGGAGCCUGCACACUGCCAUGGGGGAGUUGGGGCUGCCAUGGGGGAGUUGGGGUCCCACAAUGCGUGGAGCCUGCACACUGCCAUGGGGGAGUUGGGGUCCCACAGUGCGUGGAGCCUGCACACUGCCAUGAGGGAGUUGGGGUCCCACAGUGCGUGGAGCCUGCACACUGCCAUGGGGGAGUUGGGGUCCCACAGUGCGUGGAGACUGCACACUGCCAUGGGGGAGUUGGGGUCCCACAGUGUUUGGAGCCUGCACACUGCCAUGGGGGAGUUGGGGCUGCCAUGGGGGAGUUGGGGUCCCACAAUGCGUGGAGCCUGCACACUGCCAUGGGGGAGUUGGGGUCCCACAGUGCGUGGAGCCUGCACACUGCCAUGGGGGAGUUGGGGUCCCACAGUGCGUGGAGCCUGCACACUGCCAUGGGGGAGUUGGGGUCCCACAGUGCGUGGAGCCUGCACACUGCCAUGGGGGAGUUGGGGUCCCACAGUGCGUGGAGCCUGCACACUGCCAUGGGGGAGUUAGGGUCCCACAGUGCGUGGAGCCUGCACACUGCCAUGGGGGAGUUAGGGUCCCACAGUGCGUGGAGCCUGCACACUGCCAUGGGGGAGUUGGGGUCCCACAGUGUUUGGAGCCUGCACACUGCCAUGGGGGAGUUGGGGUCCCACAGUGUGUGGAGCCUGCACACUGCCAUGGGGGAGUUGGGGUCCCACAGUGUAUGGAGCCUGCACACUGCCAUGGGGGAGUUAGGGUCCCACAGUGUGUGGAGCCUGCACACUGCCAUGGGGGAGUUGGGGUCCCACAGUGUGUGGAGCCUGCACACUGCCAUGGGGGAGUUGGGGUCCCACAGUGUGUGGAGCCUGCACACUGCCAUGGGGGAGUUAGGGUCCCACAGUGUGUGGAGCCUGCACACUGCCAUGGGGGAGUUAGGGUCCCACAGUGUGUGGAGCCUGCACACUGCCAUGGGGGAGUUAGGGUCCCAGUGAAACAUGGUGGAUGUGGCAAUCACAGCUGGCACCCACAGUGUUUAUUAACUAUAGUUAUACGUUUACACUUAAUUCCCAGCAUGUGGGACUUGCUAGAGCUUGUGUGAAUUCAUAAAUAUCCAGAUUGCAAAACAUGUGGCUAUUUUGUAAACUCCUAGCUGUUCACAUUGUUAUGUUUUAUACAAAUUGUCCAACUCCGCUUUAGUCACUGCAUAGGGGUAGGGGCUGGACAUUGCAUACCGUUGUAAAAGGAGUAAUGGUUAAAGAGACACUCCAUGGUAGAAUGCUCUCUCUCCCCCCUCUCCUUUAUUUAAUAUAUGGCAAAUGCAUUGAAAAAGUAGGGGGGAUACCUAACAGCAGCAAAGAGCUGAGACCUGAAAAAGGCUCCACUUAUCACAAGCCUCUCAUCUUGGGCUGUGCAGUCUUAUCAUGUAAACCAUGCUGAGCCGAAGCUCCUUUUAUCAGAUCUACUGAAUAUGCAGCUUCUGUAUAUAAAAAUGACAGUCUGUGCAUGAUAACCAUUGAAGAAGUUAUGGUGCCUGGAGUCUCCAGGCACUGUCAACUGUUCAGUGUUAAACUGUUGUUUUCACUGCUGCUCUGGUAAAUGCUGCCACAUGAGCCUGAGCAGAGAUGGUUGGCAGUGAUUGGCUCAGAGCAUCAGCUCAGUGCUCUCUGUCUAUCACUGCCAUUCAUUGCUUGGAAACGAUUGGCGCGACUAAUGCAGAAAUGCAUUCCACCUUAGCGAUAUCUCCUGCAGUGUUGUUAUUAUGUUAUUUAUAUAGCGCCAUCAAAUUCCGCAGCGCUUAACAAUGGGUGGACGAACAGACAUGUAGUUGUAACCAGACAAGCUGGACACACAGGAACAGAGGGGUUGAGGGCCCUGCUCAAUGAGCUUACAUGCUAGAGGGAGUGAGGUAAAAUGACACAAAGGUAAGGAUAGUAUUAGACUAAUGACAGUUGCAGAAGAGGAAUCAGUCAGGAGCUAUUAAUAGUUUAAUUGAUACGCUUUUAUGAAGAAGUGGGUUUUUAACGAUAUUUUGAAGGAGUGGAGAUUGGGUGAGCAUGUAACGGAGGAGGGAAGCGAGUUCCACAGAAACGGCGCAGCCCUCGAGAAAUCUUGAAGGUGAGCAUCAGAGGUGGGAGUACGGACAGAAGAUAGAUGUAAGUCUUCAGCAGAGCGUAAGGGCCUAGACGUGACAUACUUGUGUAUUAGGCCAGAUAGAUAGGUGGGAGCAGCAUUAUGUAGAGAUUUGAAAGCAAGAACCAGAAUUUUAAGCCAUUGUAGGGACUGACAGAAGGGUGAGGCAUGGGAGGUGCAGGCGGGCAGGAAGAUGAGCCUCGCUGCCGCAUUCAUUAUGGACUGUAACGGCGCAAGUUGGGAGCACAUAAGACCACUGAGAAGCGAAUUACAGUAGUCAAGGCAAGAAAGGACAGUGGAAUGGACCAACACCGUAGUCACAUCUGGUGUUAAGUAGGGUCGGAUGCGCGCAAUGUUUUUGAGAUGGAAAUGACAGGAUUUGGCAAUGGAUUGAACAUGAGGCUUGAAGGAGAGGUCUGAGUCAAAGAGAACACCUAGGCAGCGAGCCUGCAUGGUGGAGCUGAUGGUAGCACCGUUAACUUGGAGGGAGACAGACACAGGAGUAACAACACUUGAGGGAGGAAAGACCAGAAUUUCAGUUUUGGUCAAGUUUAGUUUAAGGAAGUGGGCAGCCAUCCAGUUAGAAAUAGCAGAGAGGCAGUCAGAGACACUAGUCAAGAGGGACGGGGAGAGGACAGGUAGACUUGCGUGUCAUCUGCAUAGAAAUGAUAUUGGAAGCCAAAGGAGCUAAUGAGUUUACCAAGGGAGGCAGUAUAGAUGGAGAACAGUAGGGGACCAAGGACUGAACCUUGGGGGACACCAACAGAGAGGAGAUGGGGAGAUAAAACAGAGCCAGAUAAAGAAACACUAAAAGAGCGCUGGGAGAGGUAGGAGGAGCACCAGGAGAGAGCAAUAUCUUGUAGACCGAUAUUGCGGAGGAUGAGAAGAAGCUGUUGAUGAUCAACAGUGUCAAAAGCCGCAGACAGGUCAAGGAGAAUUACGAUAGAGUAGUGACCACGAGAUUUUGCAGCGAGUAGAUCAUUGGAUACUUUGGUCAGUGCAGUUUCCACAGAGUGCUUCGCGCGGAAACCAGACUGAAGCGGCUCUAGCAGAAAGUUGGACUCGAGGAAGUCUGUCAAUCUCGCAUACACAAUUCUUUCAAGGAUCUUGGAUGCAAAAGGCAGUAGCGAGAUAGGACGAUAGUUGGAUGGAGAGUUAGUGUUGUGUGUUGCGGAGUCAUGGGCGUCCAGUACCUUCAUCAACAGUAACGUGAGAAUUGUCGGGAAAUGGAAGUGAAUUUCAACAUUUUGGCUUAAAUAGCUUAUUUUAAAAAAAUUCUCCAAGUCAACCCUGUUCAUUUUGGCUAUUUUUGCCUUACGUUUGAGAUUAUUUAUGAAUUCUCAGCCAUUCUUACUUUUGUGAAUAACCCUGUUAAUAUUAAAUAGUUUGAAACUGAUUAACACUUAACCAUUGGGUAAUGCCAUUGGCUCCAGCAUAAUCAUUGUAAUGGGAUGAAGUACUUAUGGUGUUUUGAAUAUCCCUUUAACAACUAUGCUCAUUAUGUACAAUAUUUAGGGUGGCAACACUAUUUACUAGUAAAAUUUUGUUUUUAAAAGUUCAAUUGAAUUUGGUAAUAAUAGUGUCUAAAUCCCAGAGCUAACUUUAAAAUUAGAUGUGUGAGUGCGUCUUGUUAAGACAUGUUGAUAUUACUACAUUUGCAUUUAGAUUGCUGUACACUAUUUCCUUCAUCAGUGACAUAAACAUUACCUUUUGUUGCAGCAUUACAUGAGAAGAGUGCAUGAUUCUAGCUAAUUUGGCUUACUAGUUUUAUAGCGGACCGGUCACCCUCUCUUGACUUGCAUAUUUUGCAAAGACUCCCUGUGGUGACAUCUCCUCUUGGUGCAGUGGCCUUAUGCUAUCCCCCUGUUGGUGUCACCACAUUCGAUAUUCAGCUCAUGGUACUUCAUCCACCAGGAGCCCAUGUGCAUGUGCAAGAGUACAACAUUAUGGGGGAUCACAAUAGACUUCCGCAGCCUUCAUAGUAUUGUCUAGCUAUCAGCGAAAUUGUCUUAUGCUAUCUUUUGACUGUGUCUGAAUUUAAUUGAAAUACCAAUGCACUCUUUUUGAGCAUUUCAUAAAUAUGACAUCCGUUAACCCCUUAAGGACACAUGACAUGUGUGACAUGUCAUGAUUCCCUUUUAUUCCAGAAGUUUGGUCCUUAAGGGGUUAAAAUAUGCUCAUAAUGUUUUUUGGGAGUGACAUAGCUGCCUUAAAUACUCUAUUUCAAGGGAAAUAUUGUCUUAAUUCUUUGCUAUUGUAUUUCAGAAACUGAAUGAAACUGCAAAGAGUGAAGAUAGAUAUGAGUCUCAGAAGAUGAAAACUUAGGGUUUAAAUAUUUAAUGUGUGUAAAGGAUGAGGUACAUAAAUGGUGGAUGGUGAUGAUCUGUGGGUUAUAGUUGUGAUUAUUUUCUCCUGCAGGUUAUUCCAGGAUGAAGGACUCCCUUACCCUGCUGACUCGGGUUUCUGCUCACCCUGACUCCCGUUGCUGGUUCGUGGCAUGGAAUCCCACCGGAACAUUACUGGCCUCGUGUGGAGGCGAUCGGAUUAUCCGGAUUUGGGGCAAAGAUGGUGUGUGCAUGUACAGGAAUGACCUUCCGCUCUUUUGUUUAAGGAUUACCUAAAGCAUCAUGACCUCUUUGGUGAUUUACAGCAAUCAUGGUGCUUGGAGUCUAUCUGUGCAGCAGCGGUGCAGGGGUGUUGCACCCCUUUGUUGUUGAAGGUGUGUCUUCACCGCCAGCAGCCUUAUUAGGGUGUCAUUAGCCAGCUCAGAACAAGAGUAGCAUGUGGGCCAGCGUUUGAGAUGUCUGCUGUGUAGGCUCAUUUACAGGCCUUGUGUGUAUCUAAGUGGAUCAUUGUUUAGCUGCUGUUGUCUUUUAUUGUAUGAUUGAUGGACUGCUUCUCCCAUCACUCUCAUUCAGCUCCUGCCUAGCUACAAUGGUGAAUUCCACAAGAUAAAUAGUAUAUUAUGUGGUAAAUAUAUUAACCUGUUGGAAACCAGAACGAUGAUGUAGAUCGAAUAUGUUUUUCAUUUAAAGGUAAAACAUGAUUUUGUUGUGCUUCUACAUCUUUAUUUAAUGGGACACUAUAGUCUUGAAAACAACUUUAGUUUAAUGAAGCCACUUUGGUAUAUAGGUAAUACCCCAGCAGUCUCACUGCUCAGUUCUCUGCCAUUUAGCAGUAAAAUCACGUUUUUAAUGCAGCCCUCCCUGCAUGUAACUUACAUCAAAUCCUCGGGUCCUUAAGGAUGGUGGGUGCUCUAUGCAUUCCUUAAGGAGCCAAUCCUAAAUGCUGGCGGGUGGCAUAGUACAUUCCAACUGGCAAUUGGGGGGACUGCCUGAAAUCUGAUAUCGCGACGCAUGGCCACAAUAGCCAGCAUGUGCAGUGCCUGCAGGGGGACUGCCUGGGAUGUCAGGCAGUUCCCCAAUGCCUGAAAAUAAAGUUUAUCAAAACGUUUUACACCGCUUAUUAAUGGGGAAAAAAGUACUUGGAUCGUGUGUGUGUGUGUGUGUAUGUGUGUGUGUGUGUGUAUAUGUGUGUGUAUAUAUAUAUAUAUAUAUAUAUAUAUGUGUAUGUGUAUGUAUGUAUAUAUAUAUAUGUGUAUGUAUGUAUGUUCGGGGCAUUCUCAUAUGAUAUAGAAUAAGAUGGGUUGUAGAGAUGUAGCUUUAGGAAUAAUCGGUUGAGGUGUGCCGAAACCGACGUAUGCUGUAGGCCGGUAAAAAGUGGGCAAAAAGAGACAUAUUAAUGCAAAACAUUAUACAGGAUCGUAGUGCAUUUGUUAACCAUCAGUUAGACAUUUUAAUGAAAGCUUCCUAAUUCCUGAAUCGGCUGUGGUAUGUAAAUCGCAUAAGCCUAUGAUUCCCAACGGCCCCGUGUCUUAACGUGUGCGGGUAUGUCUUGACUAUAGGCUGUGUAAGCUGCUCCUAUCCUAAAGUAGUCGCUAGGGUUUAAUUCGAGCCCGGUGAAAUGAGUAGGUGGACAUAGUGCAUGAACUGUGGUAAGGACAGUAUCGUACAGCGACAGUAAUGGUUCAGUGGUGUGUAUGGUGGCGUGCCCAAGAACGUAAUCAGUACCUUAACCGGGCACCCAGCAUUGCUUGUAAGGUAGUAGGUUAUAUGCACUGGCUCUGCCCUCUGACUCAUCUUAGUUUUAGGAAGGGACCGGACAUAGUGGUCUGUGUGUUUUAGAAGAUAAGAGGUCAACAGGCACUCUUGUUUAUGAUGUUGGCUGCUGAUAGUGAGUUAUUGUUUUGGCCUGAGAAAGCCGUUAAAGGCUAGAUAGGUUGCAGUUUUGAUAACUGCAUUGGUGUGUGGCUCAGAAGUAUAUAUACACACACACAUUAAUAUCAAAAUAGAAUGAAAUUCAUGUGUAUAUAAAGUACUUAGAUCAUAUAUAUGUAUGUGUGUGUGUAUAUAUCUCUAUCUACAGAACUGUAGCCCGAAGGGCUUCGUAAUAAGUGUAUUCCUCUUUGUGUUAAAUCACACUUGUACAAUCGUCAGUGUUUCAGUCCAUAUAUAAGGACCUUAAAAAAAAUAAAUAAAAGUCCUGGUAUAUGAACUGAAACAUUGACGACUGUAUAUAACCCUGUGUAUAUAUAGCCCUAUAUAUAACCCUGCAUCUUUCCAAGACACCAUUAAACCUGUACAUGGGGGGCACUGUUAUACUCGGGAGCCUUCGCUGAACACAAAUAUUAGUGUUUCAAAACAGUAAAACAUAUCACAACGAUUAUAUAAUCAGUGAAGGUGCAGUUUGUGUGUGAAAAACGCAAAAAACAAAUAUGAACGCUAACUUUGGACAGUGUUUGUGAGUAACUGGCUGCUAAAUAAAAAAAAAAAGACUGGACAUACCCCAUUUGCAAUACCUUAGGUUGUCUACUUUUGCAAAUGGUAUGCCAUCAUAUGCCAUCAUGGGGGUAAUUAUUAUUGCUGGGCUGCCAUACGGUCUGAAAGACAACUUUCAGUGUGUAAAAACUGAAAAAGGUGAUGUGCUAUAUUUGACCCUGUAACUUUGCAAAACCCCAUAAAACCUGUACAUGGGGGGUACUGACAUCGCUGAAUACAAAUAUGUGUAUUUAAUUGCAGUGAAAGCCAACAGUAUUAUGACAUUCACAGUUAAAAUUCCACGCAAAACUAAAACAAUAACGUUUCUUAAUUUCUAGAUUUUCUUCAUAUUAAAUUAUGUUUCAUAUAUGAAUAUUUGAUGUGAAAUGAAAGCUCUGUUUCUCCUGAACAAAAUGAUAUAUAAGUGUGGGUGCACUUAAAGGGAUCCUAUAGUGCCAGGAAUACAAAGCUGUAUUCCUGGAACCAUUGCGCCCCCCUACCGUAUCAAAUAAAGGGUUAAACACCAUUUAUUUAAUUACUUUAUGCCAGUGCCAACGUUCCGCGACAAGCUGGUGCUCAUGCACAUGCGCAGAAAAUGCUGCACGCGCAUUAGACCUCCCCAUUGGAAAGUAUUGAAUCAGUGCUUUCCUGGUGGGAAAAAUCUGACACUGGAUAUCUUCAUGCAGAGCGUGAGGACGUCCCACGUCAGGUACCGGAACAACGGUUCGUUUGGAUGCAGAAAGCGCCUCCAGUGGCUGUCUGGGAGAUGUUUAACAUUGCAGCACUAAGUUCAAUAGGGACACUGUACCCAGACCACGUCAAUGAGCUGAGGGGGUCUGUGUGCCUCUAGUGUUCCUUUUAAUAGGACAGAAGUAAAUUGUGAUUGAACAAACAUAUAGUCAAAUUCCAGGUUUUGUUUUGUUCAGAAUGUGUUCAAUUGGUUAUGGGAAGGUAAGUCCGUCCUUAAUGGGUUCAUUUAGAAAUUGUCUCCCGCUCUGUUCAUAGCUUGUUAGACCAUGCAGGAGCCUCCUGUAUGUGAUAAAAGUUCAAUUUACAGAGCGGGAGAUAAAAACAUUUAAUUUAGGUUACAUCUGAUUAAAAAUUAAAACAAUAUUUUUUCUUUUUUCUUUUAUGCAGGCCGUGUCAGGGGGGCUAGGACUGUAUCAACAGAAACAAAAGUGAUUUAACUCUUAAAUGGCAGAGAAUUGAGCAGUGAGACUUCAGAGGUGUUAUCUAUACACCAAAACUGCUUCAAAAAGCAAAAGCUGUUGGUAACUAUAGUGCCCCUUUGAAUGUGAGAGGAGGGGGGGGGUAUUUAUGACCAUGAUAAGAAAGUGAGAAAUGUUUGAUGUGAUACCUGUAUAAAAGUGGCAAAGAUUUAGAUGCUGUAUGUGAAACUGAUGAACAACUGGUGCUUUGCGUCCUGUAAGUUAUGGGUGCAGUGGGAAGCAGAUAUUUUAUAUGAUUAGGGUGACAUGAGAAUGAGAGACAGAUACAAUAUAUACUAGUGUAUUGGCUAAUGUAUGGAAUAGUUGGUUUUGGCUGCGAACAUUUUUCCUCUAUGCUGUUAGUCAUUUUUUUUUGUCUGUGACGUGUUUAUCAGAAACUGUGUAGAGGUGUAUUUGCAGCUGGAGGGCAGCCAUGUUUCCAUCCCUGUUGUAAAAUGUAAUAAUAUUGCUGACUUCUACAAUUACAUAAUCAGUACUUGGGUAUUUUAUAUUUGUUUUUCCUUGCUUUAUCGCUGACUUCUUUAAAGGCUCAUUCCAGGCUGACUUGAUUUCUGGAACAGAAAUCACUGCUAAUUGUGGCAACUACAAUGAAAAUUAAAGUGGAGCAGGUAGCUUCUAACAUUGUUUUCCUCUAUGUAUCACAUUGAUACAAAAGAUGUCUGUUUGCCGCUUUCAGAUGCUUCUUGGGUGUGUAAAUCAGUCCUUGGCGAAGGGCACCAACGCACAGUGCGAAAAGUAGCCUGGUCACCCUGUGGAAACUACUUGGCAUCUGCAAGCUUUGAUGCCACUACAUGCAUUUGGAUGAAGAAAAAAGAGGAAUUUGAGGUAGGAGGCAAUGAAACUGAGAUCCCUUUAAAAGCAAAAUUGUACCUUAAAUCCCCUGCUGAGCCCAAGUUCUCCCUGCAGGCUGAUCCUCCUCCAGUGAUUUCAGUCCCCCUCACUGGAAUGGGAAGGUAACGUCCCAGAGGACCGGCUGAGGGGAGGACUUGGACAGUUUGGGGGUAGAGGGGAUGGCUGUGCCACCACUUGCCAAAUGUUGCCAGCAUGCUAUAUGUGCUGUUGACAGAUGCCUAAUAUGCAAAGAAUUAACAUUAGCUAGCCUGGAACUCCCACUCUGGGCAAUGACUCUGCCAGAGGUAAUGUGCUAUAUGUCUGCAUGUGACACGUUUUAAACUGAAGUGCAGCACCUACAGACUCAAAGCACCAUUUCAGAUCACUGAAGUGGUUGUGGUGCUUGGAAUAACCCUUAAAGAUGUAAUUUAUUUACUCUGCCUUAAACACUUCUGAAGAACUUAGUGCUCUCCUUCGAUCCUUGGUCAUGUUUUGGCAUUAAAUUACUGUCCAGAGAAGUUAUAUCAAUAUUUUCUGUUAUUUAGUGUGUCACUACUCUCGAGGGACAUGAAAAUGAGGUGAAAUCAGUAGCCUGGGCACCCUCUGGAAAUCUUCUAGCAACCUGCAGCCGUGACAAAAGUGUUUGGGUAUGGGAAGGUGAGCUUUGUUAAAUACACAAAAUACAGUAUAAACUCUUAUAUAUAUGUUGAUUUAGUCACACCAUAUGGCCAUACCAUGUUUAAGCCCAACAUUACUUCAAACACUCCAAUAUUGCUGGCUCCUACACUAAUCUUAAUACGUGAGAUAAAAAUGCUCAAUUAGAGCUGCAAGAUUUACUGUUUAAUUUGAUUAACGGGCUCCCCUAAUGUGUGUAAUUUCUUGUGGUCACUUCGAUUGAGGCCCUUGGAGGGGAGGCUGCGUCUUAGCAAGGGAGAUGAAGGGUAAACAUUGCUGCUAUGCAGCCUUUUUUUGGAAAUUUGAAGUUCAUGCUGCAUUGAGUUUCAGGACAGCUCAAUCUUGUUCUUUAACUUGUUAAUAAAAUGUUUGGUGAAGCUUUAAAAAAAGAUAGUGGGUGCCUCUUUACACAUCUACACCCACCUUAGUACUUUUACUUUGUAACAAAAUAAGUCUUGUGAGUAAGAGGCAUGUGCUGCAAUGCCUAAAACCAUUUUCCCCUUCUUGCAGUGGAUGAAGAGGAGGAGUAUGAAUGUGUCAGUGUGCUCAACUCACACACACAAGAUGUGAAGCAUGUAGUGUGGCAUCCUAACCAGGAGGUAAGUGAGAAUUAGUUAUAUUUUGAUGUUCUUCAACUUAUUACUUCCAAAUAAAAUAGGUAAAAAUAUCAGGAAUUGAAUAUGUGCCCCCACCUAAAAUGAACAGGAGACUUGGACUGUCAUAUAUCAGCUUCAACAAAUUGCAAAAAUCACUUUUUUACUUUUUAGCCCAAAAUCUGGUAGGCAGUGAACUCUUUCCUUACCCCAUUUAAUAAUGUACAUUUCUUACUACUGACUCGUGCUUUCUUUCUCCUCCCAGUUGUUGGCCUCAGCUAGCUAUGAUGACACUGUCAAACUGUACCGGGAAGAGGAGGAUGACUGGGUGUGCAGUGGCACACUGGAGGGUCACACAUCCACUGUGUGGAGCUUGGCAUUUGAUCAAAACGGAGAGAGGUUGGCCACCUGCAGUGAUGACAAGACAGUGCGCAUCUGGAAGCAGCAAGGAGCUGCUGAAGAAAAAGGUUAGGUGAUUUAUUACUUAGGGGGACUUCAGAUGUGUUCUGCUUUUUUACAGUAAGCACUAUAAGGAAGGAAUUCUCUGCCUGAAGAGGUGGUUUUAUCAGUCGAUACAAAUGUUUAAACUGCAAUUGGAUAAAUACUUCCAAAAACAUAAUAUACAGGGAUAUAAUUUCUAAUUAGUGGGGUGAUAGCUGCUUGAUCCAAGGAGACAUCUGACUGCUAUUUUGGGGUCAAGAAGGAUUUUUUUUUUCCUAGUUUGUUUCAAAAUUGGAAGCGCUUCAGACUGGGUUUUAUGACUUCUUUUGGAUCAACAGCAAAAACAUAUGUGAGGAAAGCUGAACUUGAUUGUUACAUAGCUGAAAAGAAACGUGCGUCAAUGUGCAAAAUUAUUAGAUAAGUAGCAUAGAUGCUUUACCCAUGUGUGACUAAAUAUUCUUCUAGAAUAACAUACAUUUUAGUGAUCAUAAAUAUUUGUAUAUAAUGUGCAGGUUGUAAGGAUAGUGUUGAUAGAUGAUGGAUGUUAACUGUUUUUUGUGGGUUGUGCUGGUUUUGGAGGUAUCCAAACUAUUUUUAUUUCACAAGCUAACGUAAAAUCUCUCUGGUAAGUACAGCAUUUUUGAAGUAAAACAUUUUCUAAUAAGGUGGCUGUGUCCAGAAGUGCCAGAGAGGUAUGUUUUAUACUUACAUCCACUGAACUCCUCGCCUCAGUGGCAUUUUUUUUUUCUGGUGAGCAAAUAAGAAACCAUCCUUGAUGGUUCUUUUUUUAAGGUUUGUUCUGUAUCAUGAAACAAUUGUUUUUUUUUUCUGAUCCAGGAGUGAGCAAAGACGAGGCGAGUUGGAAGUGUGUAUGUACUUUGACUGGUUACCAUACAAGGACCAUCUAUGAUGUAGAUUGGUGAGGAUUUAAACGUGCUUUUUGUGCAAUAUGUACAUGUUUUGAUGGGACAACUGCUCUGAUAUUGCAUCUUCUCCUUGAUCUGUUCAAUACAGGAGCCGUUUAACAAAUUCUCUUGCCACAGCCUGUGGAGAUGAUGCAAUUCGUGUUUUUGAGGAAGACAGCGGCUCUGAUCCACUGCAGCCUACUUUUUCUCUAACAGCUCAUAUGCCUCGUGCCCACUCUCAGGACGUUAACUGUGUGGCAUGGCACCCUAAAGAGUCUGGUUUGCUGGCUUCAUGUAGUGAUGAUGGAGAGAUCGCAUUCUGGCAGUACCAACGUUCAGAUUAACUCUAAAUGAAACAAUCUAAUGGUUGUGCCCUUCUAAAGAGCUGACUUUAUAUUAGCAUAGGAUAAUCUUCUGCCUUCCACGGGUAUUGGAUUUUAUUGUAGCUUUAUUAAACUACAAAUAUUAUUCAAGAAUUUCAAUUCUUAUGUCUGAAGAGUGAUCUCUUACUUCUUACCAGAAAAUUAGGACCUCCAUACUCUAUUCUUGCAUUGAUAUGUUUUAACCUUGGAUUUGUUAUUCUGGUAUUUUUUGUCAAUCUUUUUUAUUUUUUUUAUUUCUUUUGUCAAAAGGUAGUUAUACAGAAACAAGAUGUUAGAGAAACCAAAUAUCAACAUUUGUUUAGUUACAAAACUUCAAGUCAACGUAUUUCACAGAAUGAAUCUCAAAAUAGGAUGGUAUUUCUUAUGUGUGCUAGUAAUUAACAUAUAAGGGGUUCAAUACAUAAAAUCCAUAGUUUGUGUAUAACUUGGUAAGAAUAAAAGUGUUCUAGUACUUACUAAUGCUCAUACAUGCUGUUUGGAAAAUACUUAUUGGUAAGUACACUGCACACCUGCCUUAAGCGAAUAUUGUUCCUUAAGGUUCCAUGUAUACCGAUUUGAGGUAGAAAUAACUUUCUGUAAGAUAAAUGCUGAAAUGAGGCUAUACAUAUAAAGAACUGCAGGAUUUUUUUUUUUUCCUUUAACAAGAUAUUAAAUGUUGCCUUUUACAAAUCAGCAUUACUAUGACAUUUUAAGAUGCUGGCAAACAUAAGGCUAUUCUUAAAAGUAUAGAUCAGAGAUAAGCAACCUUUUAGUAAUGUGCCAUAACAAAAUCUAAAUGUCCCGGCCUGUCGGAUGGAGAUUUUAUUUAUAUAUAUUUAUUUUUUGAACUGAGGUGUGUAUGCUGCCAUAUUCUGCUUGUGUUCUUUAUGAUUGCUGCAAUUGCUUUGUAGAAUUGUAUUAUAUAUGUUUGAGCAGUGGUAUUGUGUAUCUAUCUAUGAAUAUGGGCUGCUUGGGGAAUGGUGUGUUUGUUGUGGGACAACUUCUGGUAUUGCAUUUGAGUGCUGUUUGGGCAAGUGUAUGACGAUUGUCAGUGGUGGUGUGCUUGUGUGCUAUUUGUAUGAUGGGGAGGCCUAUUCUGCAAUGCUGUGUAUAUCUAGCAGUGUGGGAGACAUCCCUGGGGUCCAGGGCAGGAAUGGUGAUAGCUGCUGAGGGCUUCUCUACUCCUGUUGGGAUUCCUGUUCAUAAGUGCUGCAAUGCCUAAAUUGAGGAUUGUACCUCACUACCUGCAAUCACUGCUCGGUUUGUAUUAGAAAAUAUCUGAAGUUCUAUUGGGACUUCUGAUAUGCCUUGAGUGUUGUGCAAAGGCACCUCGAAUAGGUUACUGAACCCUGGCAGGAAUGGUCAGUCAAUGUUAAUUCAUUACAAUUCUGGGGCAAGGUUUUCAUUAAUAUCAAUGUUACAAUGUCUUUUUAUACACCCUUGUUAGACAUUUGAAACCACAGUCUUUGUUGUUAUAAAAGAGCCAUAGGGGCAAGAGACAGACAAUAGAAGAACCAUAUGUACUGCAAAUCCAUGUGGCCUAGCAGUUUUGCCAAUUUCUUCCUACAGAAAACAUACCAUUUAAACUAGGGAUCGACCGAUUAUUGGUCUGGACGAUAUUCUGUAUUUGUGGCAAUAUUGGUAUCUGCCUAUAAAGAUACCUAUUUUGCCCAUAAUACAGACCAGGACGGCAGGGCCCAUGACAAGCCUGCAGCAAGCUCGCUCGUCUGAAUCUUGCGAGUCCUGCUGCAGUCAGUGUUGCUACUGGUUACCAUGGCAACCCUCCGCACCAUCCCCCCAUUUUACAUACCUACACAAACACUCUGCAUUAUUCAAAUACUCACUACACACACAUUCUUGAAAACAAAUUUUAACUGGCAUGUAUAUUAUGUGCAUUUACCUUAAUAAAAAUUAAAUUUGCAAAAAAAAAUUAAACAUCUUUAGUUAACAGUAG